GACGAACGCUGGCGGCGUGCUUAACACAUGCAAGUCGAACGGAAAGGCCCUGCUUUUGUGGGGUGCUCGAGUGGCGAACGGGUGAGUAACACGUGAGUAACCUGCCCUUGACUUUGGGAUAACUUCAGGAAACUGGGGCUAAUACCGGGUAGGAGCUCCUGCUGCAUGGUGGGGGUUGGAAAGUUUCGGCGGUUGGGGAUGGACUCGCGGCUUAUCAGCUUGUUGGUGGGGUAGUGGCUUACCAAGGCUUUGACGGGUAGCCGGCCUGAGAGGGUGACCGGCGACCUUGGGACUGAGAGACGGCCCAGACUCCUACGGGAGGCAGCAGUGGGGAAUAUUGCGCAAUAGGCGGAAGCCUGAUGCGGCAACGCCGCGUGCGGGAUGCCGGCCUUCGGGGUGUAAACCGCUUUCGCCUGUGACGAAGCGUGAGUGACGGUAAUGGGUAAAGAAGCACCGGCUAACUACGUG
rnacentral:rRNA from 1 species